CUGGACCUAACGAUGUGUAUA
rnacentral:siRNA from 1 species